rnacentral:rRNA from 1 species
AACAACGCUGGCGGCGUGCUUAAGCAUGCAAGUUGAGCGGCAAGGAGGAGAGAUCCUCCCUAGAGCAGCGGACUGGUGAGUAACGCGUGGGUAAUCUAUCUUAGGCAUGGGGAUAGUCACUAGAAAUAGUGGGUAAUACCGAAUAAGUUCCAUAAGGGGAGGACUUAUGGAAGAAAGGUGCUACGGCACUGGCCUUAGGUGAGCUCGCGUCCCAUUAGCUAGUUGGUGAGGUAAAGGCCCACCAAGGCGAUGAUGGGUAGCCGGCCUGAGAGGGUGUACGGCCACACUGGGACUGAGAUACGGCCCAGACUCCUACGGGAGGCAGCAGCUAAGAAUAUUCCGCAAUGGACGGAAGUCUGACGGAGCGACGCCGCGUGGAUGAAGAAGGCCGAAAGGUUGUAAAGUUCUUUUGCUAGGGGAGAAUAAGUGUGGGAGGGAAUGCCUGCACGAUGACAUGAAUCGAUGAAUAAGCCCCGGCUAACUACGUG